UACGGGGGGGCAAGGCGUUGUUCGGAAUUACUGGGCGUAAAGGGCUCGUAGGCGGCCAACUAAGUCGGAUGUGAAAUCCCCAGGCUUAACCUGGGAACUGCAUCCGAUACUGGAUGGCUUGAAUUCGGGAGAGGGAUGCAGAAUUCCAGGUGUAGCGGUGAAAUGCGUAGAUAUCUGGAGGAACACCGGUGGCGAAGGCGGCUCACUGGCCCGAUACUGACGCUGAGGAGCGAAAGCGUGGGGAGCGAACAGG
rnacentral:rRNA from 1 species